rnacentral:rRNA from 1 species
UACGGAGGGGGCAAGCGUUGUCCGGAUUUAUUGGGCGUAAAGAGCGUGUAGGCGGCCUUACAGGUCAGCUGUGAAAACUCGAGGCUCAACCUCGAGACGUCGGUUGAAACCGUAUGGCUAGAGUCCGGAAGAGGAGAGUGGAAUUCCCGGUGUAGCGGUGAAAUGCGCAGAUAUCGGGAAGAACACCCGUGGCGAAGGCGGCUCUCUGGGACGGUACUGACGCUGAGACGCGAAAGCGUGGGGAGCGAACAGG